UGUCCCAUGGCUUAGUUGGUUACGGCGUCCGACUGUUACAAACUUGCGAGUUUGCACGUCAUCGGAAGAUCGAGAGUUCAAGUCUCUCUGGGACAG
rnacentral:tRNA from 1 species